rnacentral:rRNA from 1 species
CCUACGGGAGGCAGCAGUGGGGAAUAUUGGGCAAUGGAGGCAACUCUGACCCAGCAACGCCGCGUGAAUGAUGAAGGUCUUCGGAUUGUAAAGUUCUGUGAUGGGGGAUGAACACAAUGACGGUACCCCAAUAGCAAGCCACGGCUAACUACGUGCCAGCAGCCGCGGUAAUACGGAGGUGGCAAGCGUUAUCCGGAAUGACUGGGCGUAAAGGGUGCGUAGGUGGUUUAGUAAGUUGGCGGUGUAAUUCCGGGGCUCAACCUCGGCGCUACCGCCAAAACUAUUAGACUAGAGUGCAGGUGCGGUAAGUGGAAUGCCUAGUGUAGCGGUGGAAUGCGUAGAUAUUAGGAGGAACAUCAGGGGCGAAGGCGACUUACUGGACUGUAACUGACACUGAGGCACGAAAGCGUGGGGAGCAAACAGGAUUAGAUACCCCAGUAGUC